rnacentral:rRNA from 1 species
UACGUAGGAUCCAAGCGUUAUCCGGAUUUAUUGGGCGUAAAGAGUUGCGUAGGCGGUAGGGUAAGCAAAUAGUGAAAGAGUGUGGCUUAACCAUACGAACAUUAUUUGAACUGCUCAACUAGAGAGCGGAAGAGGUAGCUGGAAUUAUUAGUGGAGGAGUAAUAUCCGUAGAUAUUAAUAAGAACACCAAUGGCGAAGGCAGGCUACUGGUCCGUUUCUGACGCUCAGGCACGAAAGCGUAGGUAGCAAACAGG